rnacentral:rRNA from 1 species
AUUGAACGCUGGCGGCAGGCCUAACACAUGCAAGUCGAACGAGUGGCGGACGGGUGAGUAAUGUCUGGGAAUCUGCCUGAUGGAGGGGGAUAACUACUAGAAACGGUAGCUAAUAGCGCAUACUAUCGGAUGUGCCCAGAUGGGUUUAGCUUGGUGGUGGGGUAACGGCUCAACAAGGAGACGAUCCCUAGCUGGUCUGAGAGGAUGACCAGCCACACUGGAACUGAGACACGGUCCAGACUCCUACGGGAGGCAGCAGUGGGGAAUAUUGCACAAUGGGCGCAAGCCGGAUGCAGCCAUGCCGCGUGUAUGAAGAAGGCCUUCGGGUUGUAAAGUACUUUCAGCGGGGAGGCGUUACCCACAGAAGAAGCACCGGCUAACUCCGUGCCAGCAGCCGCGGUAAUUC